rnacentral:rRNA from 1 species
CGGGACGGGUGAGUAAUGCUUGGGAAUCUAGCUUAUGGAGGGGGAUAACUACGGGAAACUGUAGCUAAUACCGCGUAGUAUCGGAAGAUGAAAGUGUGGGACCUUCGGGCCACAUGCCAUAGGAUGAGCCCAAGUGGGAUUAGGUAGUUGGUGAGGUAAAGGCUCACCAAGCCGACGAUCUCUAGCCGGUCUGAGAGGAUGACCAGCCACACUGGGACUGAGACACGGCCCAG